CAGUCGAACGGAUCUGUAUUGAAACCUAGUGAUAUACAGGUUAGUGGCGGACGGGUGAGUAACGCGUGGGUAACCUGCCUUACACUGGGGGAUAACACUUAGAAAUAGGUGCUAAUACCGCAUAAGCGCACGAGGCCGCAUGGAUUUGUGUGAAAAACUCCGGUGGUGUAAGAUGGACCCGCGUCUGAUUAGCUUGUUGGCGGGGUAACGGCCCACCAAGGCAACGAUCAGUAGCCGGCCUGAGAGGGUGAACGGCCACAUUGGGACUGAGACACGGCCCAAACUCCUACGGGAGGCAGCAGUGGGGAAUAUUGCACAGUGGGGGAAACCCUGAUGCAGCGACGCCGCGUGAGUGAAGAAGUAAUUCGUUAUGUAAAGCUCUAUCAGCAGGGAAGAAAAUGACGGUACCUGAGUAAGAAGCCCCGGCUAACUACGUGCCAGCAGCCGCGGUAAUACGUAGGGGGCAAGCGUUAUCCGGAUUUACUGGGUGUAAAGGGAGCGUAGACGGCAGCGCAAGUCUGGAGUGAAAUGCCGGGGCCCAACCCCCGGACUGCUCUGGGAACUGUCUAGCUAGAGUGCAGGAGGGGUAAGUGGAAUUCCUAGUGUAGCGGUGAAAUGCGUAGAUAUUAGGAGGAACACCAGUGGCGAAGGCGGCUUACUGGACUGUAACUGACGUUGAGGCUCGAAAGCGUGGGGAGCAAACAGGAUU
rnacentral:rRNA from 1 species